rnacentral:rRNA from 1 species
UGAACGCUGGCGGCGUGCUUAACACAUGCAAGUCGAACGAGAAAGGGAUUGCUUGCAAUCCUGAGUAGAGUGGCGCACGGGUGAGUAACACGUAGAUAAUCUACCUUCAAGCCCGGGAUAACUAUUCGAAAGGAUGGCUAAUACCGGAUGAAGUAUUUCAAUAUAAGUUGAACUAUGAAAGAUUGCCUCUUCUUGAAAGCAAUUGUUUGGAGAUGAGUUUGCGGACCAUUAGUUUGUUGGUGGGGUAAAGGCCUACCAAGACUACGAUGGUUAGCUGGUCUGAGAGGAUGAUCAGCCACACUGGAACUGGUACACGGUCCAGACUCCUACGGGAGGCAGCAGUGAGGAAUUUUGCGCAAUGGGGGAAACCCUGACGCAGCAACGCCGCGUGAGUGAAGAAGGCCCUUGGGUCGUAAAGCUCUGUCGACAGGGAAGAAAUUAACAUCAUCCAAUAGGUGUUGUUAUUGACGGUACCUGUAGAGGAAGCACCGGCUAACUCC